rnacentral:rRNA from 1 species
CCUACGGGUGACUGCAGUGAGGAAUAUUGGUCAAUGGACGAGAGUCUGAACCAGCCAAGUAGCGUGAAGGAUGACGGCCCUAUGGGUUGUAAACUUCGUUUAUAAAGGAAUAAAACGAGGCACGUGUGCCCUUUUGCAUGUACUUUAUGAAUAAGGAUCGGCUAACUCCGUGCCAGCAGCCGCGGUAAUACGGAGGAGCCGAGCGUUAUCCGGAUUUAGUGGGUUUAAAGGGAGCGUAGAGGGGUUGUUAAGUCAGUUGUGAAAGUUUGCGGCUCAACCGUCAAAUUGCCAUUGAUACUGGCAGUCUUGAGUGCAGUUGAGGUAGGCGGAAUUCGUGGUGUAGCGGUUAAAUGCUUAGCUAUCACGCAGAACCCCGAUUGCGAAGGCAGCUUACUAAACUGUGACUGACAUUGAUGCUCGAAAGUGUGGGUAUCAAACAGGAUUAGAUACCCCUGUAGUC